rnacentral:rRNA from 1 species
CAGCAGCCGCGGUAAUACCGGCGGCCCGAGUGGCGGUCACUAUUAUUGGGCUUAAAGCGUCCGUAGCCGGGUUGGGAAGUCCUCCGGGAAAUCUGGCCGCUUAACGGUCAGAAUGCCGGAGGAUACUCCCAGCCUAGGGAGCGGGAGAGGUCGAGGGGAUUCCCGGAGUAGGGGUGAAAUCCUAUAAUCCCGGGAGGACCACCUGUGGCGAAGGCGCUCGGCUGGAACGCGUCCGACGGUGAGGGACGAAGGCCAGGGGAGCAAACCGGAUUAGAUACCCGGGUAGUCCUGGCUGUAAACGAUGCGGACUUUGUGUCGGACAAGCUAUGAGCUUGUCCGGUGCCGGAGGGAAACCGUUAAGUCCGCCGCCUGGGGAGUACGGCCGCAAGGCUGAAACUUAAAGGAAUUGGCGGG